UACAGAGGUCCCAAGCGUUGUUCGGAUUCACUGGGCGUAAAGGGUGCGCAGGUGGCAUGGUAAGUUUGAUGUGAAAGCUUCGGGCUUAACCCGGAAAUGGCAUUGAAUACUACUGUGCUGGAGGGUCGGAGGGGGGACUGGAAUUCUUGGUGUAGCAGUGAAAUGCGUAGAUAUCCGGAGGAACACCGGUGGCGAAGGCGGCUUCCUGGACCGAUUACUGACGCUGAGGCGCGAAAGCUAGGGGAGCAAACAGG
rnacentral:rRNA from 1 species